GCCAGCUAGCAUCCAGACCCCAGAGCCAGUGGGGGCACAGCCCUGCCAGCCUCUGCCAGCCUCCCUCAAGGCUGCACGGGGUUUCCUUGCUCCCUGAUGCCCAUUUCUGUCCGGGUGCAGCACGGCGUGUAGUCACCCGGGUCAGGGUGAACCAGGGAGCAGGUGAGGGAGGCCUUGACUUGGCCAGGCCAGCAAGAGUGGGGUGAGGGUCUGGAACGUCUUCUUUGGACAGUGGGAAGGAGGCUGGUGUGUCCACUGUGAACAGGGUCGACCAACAGUUCAUCUGUGGAGAUGGUGCUGGCCAUGGCUGAGGGCCUGUGUCAAGCACUGGGUGAUGUGGAGGGGCAGUGGCCCUGGACUUCUCUGGUGUGGGGGUUGCUGUGGACAGGCCAGUGGACACAGUCACCCAGAGAUGAGUAUGCCGAGCAGACCCACCUGGUCCCUGCAGGCCAUCUGCCAGCAUAGCCACCCCCCAUGCUUGCCUUGGCCUAGAGUGGCAGCCAGUGAGGAAGGGCCCCUCUGCCCGCCAUGUGCAAGGCCUCGC
rnacentral:lncRNA from 1 species